rnacentral:rRNA from 1 species
GACGAACCGUGCGACCGUUGUUCGGAUUCACUGGGCUUAAAGGGCGCGUAGGCGGGCCAGCAUGUCCGGGGUGAAAUCUUUCGGCUUAACCGGAAAAGGGCUUCGGAAACGGCUGGUCUUGAGGGAGGUAGGGGCAGGUGGAACUUCCGGUGGAGCGGUGAAAUGCGUAGAUAUGCGGAGGAACACCGAUGGCGAAGGCAAUCCCCUGGACCUGUACUGACGCUCAUGCACGAAAGCGUGGGGAGCAAACAGG